CAACUCGGCUGCAUGAAGCUGGAAUCGCUAGUAAUCGCAGAUCAGAAUGCUGCGGUGAAUACGUUCCCGGGUCUUGUACACACCGCCCGUCACACCAUGGGAGUUGGGAAUGCCCGAAGUCAGUGACCCAACCGCAAGGAGGGAGCUGCCGAAGGCAGGCUUGAUAACUGGGGUGAAGUCGUAACAAGGUAGC
rnacentral:rRNA from 1 species